UGACAUUUCGUCGUCCUUCAAUAAUAUCAACAAUAGAAAGAGACGUCAAGCAUCGGCUUCAGUCAGCUCAAACAGUUGAAAAAUCUGUUUUAUGGAGAACUUUCUAUGAAAAAGCGUACCCGCUAAAGUUUUUAUCUUUGGAAUCAGUUGUCAUUGUCGAUCUUACUGACUAAAAAAGAUACUGGAGUGCUGGACUGGAGACAGUAAAAGAUGCAUUCAGACCUGUCACCUCAUCUUCAUACGACCAUGUGUAACGAUCUGAUUGCUGCUCUAAAUAAAUGUCAUGCAGACAAUCCUUUCAAAAAAUUUUUGGGAGCCUGCAAUGAAGCUGACAGGGCAAUGACAAAAUGUCUAAAACAAGAAAGAGAACAAAAGAGGCAAGCUAACAAGGAAAGGAAACCAUUUUCAAAGCAAAAGGAUGGCACUAGCUCUUCUUGACUUUGUUGUGUUUGUUAUGACUAGCUUUUUCAAGAUGUUCAGGGAAAGAAAUUUACAAUUUGUUUAUAAUUAUUUUACAACCUGUCAAUUUUUUGCUAUUGAUUGGACAAAAAAAUUUUAAUGUCUCAUUGAUUGAACAAUUGAGUUUAUUUCUCUGCAAAGUCUGUAUUAAUGGGUAGGAACACAGGUUACUGAACUGUCGAAAAAAAAAAA